GGGUUUUCACCGGAAAACGGGAAGCGAACAAUAUGAAGCCCCCCGGAAGAUGGGACUUGCUCCCUGAUGUAAGCGGCGGACGGGUGAGAAAAGGGAAUGGGUAACCUGCCUGUAAGAAUGGGAUAACUCGUUUUAAAAGGGGCUAAUACCGGAUGGUUGUUUGAACCGCAUGGUUCAAACAUAAAAGGUGGCUUCGGCUACCACUUUCCUUAUGAAAAGCGCGGCGCAUUAGCUAGUUGGUGAGGUAACGGCUCACCAAGGCAACGAUGCGUACCCGACCUGAGAGGGUGAUCGGCCACACUGGGACUGAGACACGGCCCAGACUCCUACGGGAGGCAGCAUUAGGGAAUCUUCCGCAAUGGACGAAAGUCUGACGGAACAACGCCGCGAGAGUGAUGAAUGUUUUCGUAUCAUAAAGCUCUGUUGUUAGAGAAAAACAAGUACCGUUCUUAUUUGGCGGUCCCCUGACUGUACCUAA
rnacentral:rRNA from 2 species